AACCGUGGUGUGGACAAGCUCAUAAUAGUUCUUUAUAUCUCUCCCAAGCGUCAAAAAGUGAUUCACCAUCAUUAUGGGUAAAUCUGGUUAUUUGGUUUCGUAGGAC